rnacentral:rRNA from 1 species
UACGUAGGGGGCAAGCGUUGUCCGGAAUCAUUGGGCGUAAAGAGCGUGUAGGCGGCUCGGUAAGUCCGCUGUAAAAGUCCAGGGCUCAACCCUGGAAUGCCAGUGGAAACUGUCGAGCUAGAGUCCGGAAGAGGCGAGUGGAAUUCCUGGUGUAGCGGUGAAAUGCGCAGAUAUCAGGAGGAACGCCAAUGGCGAAGGCAGCUCGCUGGGACGGUACUGACGCUGAGGAGCGAAAGCGUGGGUAGCAAACAGG